UCGAUUCCCUUAGUAGCGGCGAGCGAAACGGGAAGAGCCCAAACCAACAAGCUUGCUUGUUGGGGUUGUAGGACACUCUAUACGGAGUUACAAAGGACGACAUUAGACGAAUCAUCUGGAAAGAUGAAUCAAAGAAGGUAAUAAUCCUGUAGUCGAAAAUGUUGUCUCUCUUGAGUGGAUCCUGAGUACGACGGAGCACGUGAAAUUCCGUCGGAAUCUGGGAGGACCAUCUCCUAAGGCUAAAUACUCUCUAGUGACCGAUAGUGAACCAGUACCGUGAGGGAAAGGUGAAAAGCACCCCGGAAGGGGAGUGAAAUAGAACCUGAAACCGUGUGCUUACAAGUAGUCAGAGCCCGUUAAUGGGUGAUGGCGUGCCUUUUGUAGAAUGAACCGGCGAGUUACGAUUUGAUGCAAGGUUAAGCAGUAAAUGUGGAGCCGUAGCGAAAGCGAGUCUGAAUAGGGCGUUUAGUAUUUGGUCGUAGACCCGAAACCAGGUGAUCUACCCUUGGUCAGGUUGAAGUUCAGGUAACACUGAAUGGAGGACCGAACCGACUUACGUUGAAAAGUGAGCGGAUGAACUGAGGGUAGCGGAGAAAUUCCAAUCGAACCUGGAGAUAGCUGGUUCUCUCCGAAAUAGCUUUAGGGCUAGCCUCAAGUGAUGAUUAUUGGAGGUAGAGCACUGUUUGGACGAGGGGCCCCUCUCGGGUUACCGAAUUCAGACAAACUCCGAAUGCCAAUUAAUUUAACUUGGGAGUCAGAACAUGGGUGAUAAGGUCCGUGUUCGAAAGGGAAACAGCCCAGACCACCAGCUAAGGUCCCAAAAUAUAUGUUAAGUGGAAAAGGAUGUGGCGUUGCCCAGACAACUAGGAUGUUGGCUUAGAAGCAGCCAUCAUUUAAAGAGUGCGUAAUAGCUCACUAGUCGAGUGACACUGCGCCGAAAAUGUACCGGGGCUAAACAUAUUACCGAAGCUGUGGAUUGUCCUUUGGACAAUGGUAGGAGAGCGUUCUAAGGGCGUUGAAGCAUGAUCGUAA
rnacentral:rRNA from 1 species